rnacentral:rRNA from 1 species
GACGAACGCUGGCGGCGUGCUUAACACAUGCAAGUCGAACGGAAAGGCCCUGCUUUUGUGGGGUGCUCGAGUGGCGAACGGGUGAGUAACACGUGAGUAACCUGCCCUUGACUUUGGGAUAACUUCAGGAAACUGGGGCUAAUACCGGAUAGGAGCUCCUGCUGCAUGGUGGGGGUUGGAAAGUUUCGGCGGUUGGGGAUGGACUCGCGGCUUAUCAGCUUGUUGGUGGGGUAGUGGCUUACCAAGGCUUUGACGGGUAGCCGGCCUGAGAGGGUGACCGGCCACAUUGGGACUGAGAUACGGCCCAGACUCCUACGGGAGGCAGCAGUGGGGAAUAUUGCACAAUGGGCGGAAGCCUGAUGCAGCAACGCCGCGUGCGGGAUGACGGCCUUCGGGUUGUAAACCGCUUUCGCCUGUGACGAAGCGUGAGUGACGGUAAUGGGUAAAGAAGCACCGGCUAACUACGUGCCAGCAGCCGCGGUGAUACGUAGGGUACGAGCGUUGUCCGGAUUUAUUGGGCGUAAAGGGCUCGUAGGUGGUUGAUCGCGUCGGAAGUGUAAUCUUGGGGCUUAACCCUGAGCGUGCUUUCGAUACGGGUUGACUUGAGGAAGGUAGGGGAGAAUGGAAUUCCUGGUGGAGCGGUGGAAUGCGCAGAUAUCAGGAGGAACACCAGUGGCGAAGGCGGUUCUCUGGGCCUUUCCUGACGCUGAGGAGCGAAAGCGUGGGGAGCGAACAGGCUUAGAUACCCUGGUAGUCCACGCUGUAAACGGUGGGUACUAGGUGUGGGGUCCAUUCCACGGGUUCCGUGCCGUAGCUAACGCUUUAAGUACCCCGCCUGGGGAGUACGGCCGCAAGGCUAAAACUCAAAGGAAUUGACGGGGCCCCGCACAAGCGGCGGAGCAUGCGGAUUAAUUCGAUGCAACGCGUAGAACCUUACCUGGGUUUGACAUGGAUCGGGAGCGCUCAGAGAUGGGUGUGCCUCUUUUGGGGUCGGUUCACAGGUGGUGCAUGGCUGUCGUCAGCUCGUGUCGUGAGAUGUUGGGUUAAGUCCCGCAACGAGCGCAACCCUUGUUCACUGUUGCCAGCACGUUAUGGUGGGGACUCAGUGGAGACCGCCGGGGUCAACUCGGAGGAAGGUGGGGAUGACGUCAAGUCAUCAUGCCCCUUAUGUCCAGGGCUUCACGCAUGCUACAAUGGCUGGUACAGAGAGUGGCGAGCCUGUGAGGGUGAGCGAAUCUCGGAAAGCCGGUCUCAGUUCGGAUUGGGGUCUGCAACUCGACCUCAUGAAGUCGGAGUCGCUAGUAAUCGCAGAUCAGCAACGCUGCGGUGAAUACGUUCCCGGGGCU